rnacentral:rRNA from 1 species
CCCUUAGAUGUCCUGGGCCGCACGCGCGCUACACUGAGUGUCUGAGAUACGAGUCUGCCUGGUCCGGCAAGGUCUAGGUAAUCGCUAAAAGACACAUCAUGCUUGGGAUAGAUUAUUGCAAAUAUUAAUCUUGAACGGGGAAUUCCUAGUAAGCGCAAGUCAACAGCUUGCGUUGAUUACGUCCCUGCCCUUUGUACACACCGCCCGUCGCUACUACUGAUUGGAUGUUUAAGCGAGGUUCUCGAACUGCUAGCGACUUAGCUUCGGUGAGGUCGCAGUGUGGGAAGUGAACCUAGCUUUGGUGUCUAGAGGAAGUAAAAGUCGUAACA